GAUGAACGCUGGCGGCGCGCCUAACACAUGCGAGUCGAACGGUUAAAGCACCUUUUAGGUGUGUAUAAAGUGGCGAACGGCUGAGUAACACGUGGGCAACCUGCCCUCCUCUUGGGGAUAGCCUCGGGAAACCGAGGAUAAUACCCGAUACUUCAAUGUGGCCGCAUGACGACAUUGAGAAAGCUUUUGCGGAGAAGGAUGGGCCCGCGGCCUGUUAGCUUGUUGGUGGGGUAGAGGCCUACCAAGGCAAUGAUGGGUAGCUGGGUUGAGAGACCGACCAGCCAGAUUGGGACUGGGACACGGCCCAGACUCCUACGGGAGGCAGCAGUGGGGAAUCUUGCACAAUGGGCGAAAGCCUGAUGCAGCGACGCCGCGUGCGGGACGAAGGCCUUCGGGUUGUAAACCGCUUUCAGCAGGGACGAGGCGAUAAGUGACGGUACCUGCAGAAGAAGCCCCGGCUAACUACGUG
rnacentral:rRNA from 1 species